GCCUUCGUGGUGUAGUGGUCUGCAUGCUCGAAUCGUAACCGAGAGGUCCGUGGUUCGAUUCCCGGCGAAGGCG
rfam:Stegodyphus mimosarum contig129186, whole genome shotgun sequence.